UACGUAGGGGGCAAGCGUUGUCCGGAAUCAUUGGGCGUAAAGAGCGUGUAGGCGGCCCGAUAAGUCCGCUGUGAAAGUCCAGGGCUCGACCCUGGAAUGCCGGUGGAUACUGUCGGGCUCGAAUCCGGAAGAGGUGAGUGGAAUUCCUGGUGUAGCGGUGAAAUGCGCAGAUAUCAGGAGGAACACCGAUGGCGAAGGCAGGUCUCUGGGCCACUACUGACGCUGAGAAGCGAAAGCAUGGGGAGCGAACAGG
rnacentral:rRNA from 1 species